CUGCGGGUUGAGCUGUCAAAAGAGGGACUGUCCCUCCGAAAAAGGGACAGUUGGGAGGUAUGCACUGGACCGCUCAGAGCACACAUUAACUAGAUAAAUAAUUGACCAGGCACUUGUCAGCCUUAUCAGGAGCAAAGUGUUUGGUGGCUGCAAAUAUUUGUGGUUUUAUUGAUAAUCAGCAAGAAACAAGUGUUUCUCUAUUUCUUCCAUUAAACUAAAAAAAAAACACUGCGAGGAAGCAGACUAUGUACAAUCGAGGGGGGGGUGGGAGCCACUCCCCAGACGACUACGGGAGCCACUCCCCUGACGACUACGUAUUGCGUCACCGCGCCUAUAUAGAUGUAGUUGCGACGCCAAUAUCUCGCGAGAUGAGGCCUAUGAUGGCGGAUCCCAAAAGCCAUCCAUUGAAGGCAUUGCGAGGCUGCGGCCUGUUUGGAGGAAAGCGGGCCGUGUGGUAGUGAGUGGUUUUCUGCGCUAUGUUAACUAACGUGAAGAGUGUGCUGCGCUUGGGAGUCUUAAACUAAAGCUUUCGACCCGCGCACUUUGUUGUUUUCUAACACCCACUGUUUCCUUUUUCUUGCGUGUGUUGCUUAGCCUUCUGGGUAAGGAAGUCUUGUCUCCAAGGAUGUGAUUUUUGCGCUCUAAAUUGCUGUUUAUGAAGUUGAAUACUUCUAUUAUCCCUGGUAUCGUGCGUGUAUGUUCAGCAGCUGUACAGUAGCGCUUUCCCCAUCACUCCUGUUCCAUUACAGGCUAUAAAUGACAUCAUGUAUGGCGCACACACGUGGUGGGAGAGUGAUGGUGCCAGUGAGUUGCCUGCAUUUCAGUACUGGAGAAAAAUUAUCUGUAUACAUUUCUGGAGAUGUUGCCCAUAGCAGCCAAUCAGAUCUUUGCUUUUGUUUUCUGGUUUAUAAGUGGCUGUUUAAAUCUUAUUGCUGAUUGGUUGCCAUGGGCAACAUCUCCAGAUUUUUAUCUCCAAUGUUUGUAAAUAUGCCAUGUCCCUGUCUGAGAUCUUACAAUCCAGCAGGUUUUGGUGUUCUUUAGUCACAUGUUUAAACUUGCUCAACUCUAUUUUAAUCCCGUUGCUUUAUUCUUUUAGGUCCAAGUAUCCUCUGUUGCCUUCACAACACAAAGGUAUUUCAAGUUUGAUCUCUCUCUCCGGUUAUUCCUCUACCCAUUGAAAAAUGUUUGUUUUUUGUAUUAAUUCUCAUUUUCUACUGAAUAAAGAUUUUUUACUUUGGUA